GACAGAGGCCCCGAGCGUUAGGCGGAAUCACUGGGCUUAAAGCGUGUGUAGGCGGACCCCUAAGUGUCUUGUGAAAUCCCACGGCUCACCCGUGGAACCGCUGGGCAUACUGGGGGUCUUGGGCCGUUCAGGGGCGACUGGAACAAGCGGUGGAGCGGUGAAAUGCGUAGAUAUCGCUUGGAACGCCGAAGGUGAAAACAGGUCGCUGGGGACGCGCCGACGCUGAGACACGAAAGCCAGGGGAGCAAACGGG
rnacentral:rRNA from 1 species